AUUGAACGCUGGCGGCAUGCCUUACACAUGCAAGUCGAACGGCAGCGCGGGAGCAAUCCUGGCGGCGAGUGGCGAACGGGUGAGUAAUAUAUCGGAACGUGCCCUGGAGUGGGGGAUAACUAGUCGAAAGACUAGCUAAUACCGCAUACGAUCUAAGGAUGAAAGUGGGGGAUCGCAAGACCUCAUGCUCCUGGAGCGGCCGAUAUCUGAUUAGCUAGUUGGUGGGGUAAAAGCUCACCAAGGCGACGAUCAGUAGCUGGUCUGAGAGGACGACCAGCCACACUGUGACUGAGACACGGCCCAGACUCCUACGGGAGGCAGCAGUGGGGAAUUUUGGACAAUGUGCGCAAGCCUGAUUCAGCAAUGCCGCGUGCAGGAAGAAGGCCUUCGGGUUGUAAACUGCUUUUGUCACGGAAGAAAUCCUCUGGGUUAAUACCUCGGGAGGAUGACGGUACCUGAAGAAUAAGCACCGGCUAACUACGUGCCAGCCGCCGCCGUAACUC
rnacentral:rRNA from 1 species